rnacentral:rRNA from 1 species
GUGGGGAAUAUUGGACAAUGGGCGAAAGCCUGAUCCAGCCAUGCCGCGUGUGUGAAGAAGGUCUUCGGAUUGUAAAGCACUUUAAGUUGGGAGGAAGGGCAGUAAGUUAAUACCUUGCUGUUUUGACGUUACCGACAGAAUAAGCACCGGCUAACUUCGUGCCAGCAGCCGCGGUAAUACGAAGGGUGCAAGCGUUAAUCGGAAUUACUGGGCGUAAAGCGCGCGUAGGUGGUUUUGUAAGUUGGAGGUGAAAUCCCCGGGCUCAACCUGGGAACUGCCUCCAAAACUGCAUGACUAGAGUACGGUAGAGGGUAGUGGAAUGUCCUGUGUAGCGGUGAAAUGCGUAGAUAUAGGAAGGAACACCAGUGGCGAAGGCGACUACCUGGACUGAUACUGACACUGAGGUGCGAAAGCGUGGGGAGCAAACAGGAUUAGAAACCCCUGUAGUCC